rnacentral:rRNA from 1 species
GACGAACGCUGGCGGCGUGCUUAACACAUGCAAGUCGAGCGGUAAGGCCCUUCCGGGGGUACACGAGCGGCGAACGGGUGAGUAACACGUGGGUGACCUGCCCUCAGCUCUGGGAUAAGCCUGGGAAACCGGGUCUAAUACUGGAUAUGACUCCAUGACGCAUGUUGUGGGGUGGAAAGCCUUGUGCGGCUGAGGAUGGGCCCGCGGCCUAUCAGCUUGUUGGUGGGGUGAGGCCUACCAAGGCGACGACGGGUAGCCGGCCUGAGAGGGCGACCGGCCACACUGGGACUGAGACACGGCCCAGACUCCUACGGGAGGCAGCAGUGGGGAAUCUUGCGCAAUGGGCGAAAGCCUGACGCAGCGACGCCGCGUGAGGGAUGACGGCCUCGGUGUAACU